UCUAGCUAGCUAGCUUUGGUCUGUAAUUUCUUUUUUUUGCCAGAUUUCGAGAUUUUAAUUUUAUUUUCUUUUUCAAUGAUUGUAUCUGAAUGUAAUUUCUGAGGCCAACUUAGUAGUACAAAUUUCGUUUAAACAUUCUUUAUAAUUCGAUCAAAGUACAAGCUUCAUAGCUAGCAUACAAGUUUUGUAGCUUAAAAGAUUGAUAAUUUCAAAUGUAUAGAAGGAGGAAACCAAUCUCAAAAUUUUGAAACCAAUCUCAAAAUUUCCAGUCAAAGCUAAGAUAAGGAUCCAGUACAGAAGUACUCUACUUUGUACAGGAAAAGGGACAAGAAAUCUAGAUAGCCCCAGACAACAACAUCAGAAAAGGACCAGAGAUAUUUUGUUCAUACAGAUCAAUCUUUUGACUGAAAAUCUUUAAUUCUGUACGGUUUCCUCUAGCUCCCUUGUAUAUAUCAAUGUCUCCUCCUCCCGGAUUAUAAUCACCACCAGCAUUGCCAAUUUGUUCUCUCUAAAUUCUCCAUCUCAGUUAGAAAAUUAGGACGCGGCAGAAACAGAAACCCCUUGCUUUUGUUUAUAACCAAAGACCCCCAAAACCUUUUGGUUCGUUUUGACCAUGGAUUUAUCUACCAUGGGAGACACCACUCUAAGCUUUUAAGGUUUAUUUGAAGAUUUUAAUGAAAUCGGUAAAAUGAGAAAGCCACUCAAGGAGGAGUGUUUUUCACCAAUGGUUUUAUCACCUCCAACAGUGGCAAGCAGUGAAGUGGUGCUUUCCCCCACUGUAAGGUGGUAUGGAACUGUGGAUGUAUCACACUUGCUGUGCAGUAUCAAAGAAAGCAAGGAACUGCAGCAUCCAUCUGCCUUGGACAUGUUUGAGCAAAUCAUUGGAGCUUCCCAAGGCAAGCAAAUAGUCAUGUUUCUUGACUACGAUGGCACUCUUUCACCCAUAGUCGAACACCCAGAUCGAGCUUUCAUGUCUGAUUCUAUGAGGAAGACGGUGAAUAAACUUGCUAGUGAGUGGAAGAUGCAGAGACAAGGUGUACAAAAUUGUAUGGUUAAUGGUGCGAGGAAGAGAGACAAAACUCUUCAAUUAGUGCAUGGAAAUUAUAGAUCGAGCAGAUGAAAGCCAAGGGGAUUGUUCUUGAUGAGGAGCUUGAGAUGAGGUUCAGAGGAUAAGAGGUAUGCUAACAAGGGUGAAUUCAAAUAAGUACAAAAACUUCAACUGAAAAGGCCUUUGCUUUUGUGUUGCCUGGUAAUGGAAUUAGGACUGGUUUGAGGAUUUUAAUGAAAUCGGUAGAAUGAGAAAGCCACUCAAGGAGGGUUGUUUUCAGUAAUGGUUUCAUCACCUCCUACCUCCUAGAGUGGGGAUAGGAAUCAUCGAGCUAUUGGACAAAUUGGUAGCCUCUGUUUUUGCCUUUUUGUUCCCCACUCUUCGACCAGAUCCAGAAGCUCCUCCAAGACCAUGCCCGAAACCUCGGCCCAAAUUAACCCACUUCGACCUCCUCUUCACCUGGCAACGGUCAGAUCCGGCCCAGUUCCUCCACCUCAGUGCCCAAUACCUUGGCCACCGCCUCGGCGAGCUUCACCAUUUCCACCCAUGACCCAUACGUUGGCGUUGACCGGUUUCACCCAUGCCUCGGCCUCGGCCACGACCAGAUUGGCCCUUUCCAUGCCCGGGACGAAGAUGCUUCGCCACUUUCAUCUUGGGAGACUUUGUCACCAUUUUCAUGUUAUUGGGUCCGGCCAUUUUAUCUGUUUGGUACCUCUUCCUUCUCUGAGAUCUGAGAUUUAGGUUUUGUAGCUGUAAUGCUACUGCCGACCCUAGAUAUAUUUGUAUGGCCGUCCAAACCCUCAAUCUGUAAUGUCCACAUUAUAGAGACCAGAAAACUGUAGAAGUAACAAAACGAUUCAUAACAAACAGUCUAGGCCGACUAGAUAAGACUCCCCAAAACAUGAUCAUUCCUUAAACACAAAAUAUUAAAUCAGGAAAUUCCAGUCCCACCCACACCAGUAAUCUCAUCUUCACUCUAUUAUCCUCCUACAAAUAGGUAAAGCUUCUCUCUAGAUUGAUUUGCCGUAUUCUUGGUUUAUGAAAGAAGCCAAAUACUUGAUGAAGGUCUUGGCCUUGUCAGAAUUGGGAUUGAAGAUAUGGAACACGUACAUGGUCUUCCCCUUGUUUCAAUCAACUCUUUGCUUCCUGCCCAGCAUGCUCUUCACCAAUUAAUGCAUCAUAAUAAAAGCUAGCCUCCCUCUGUCCCUCAAUAUGUCAUUUGCUUCUCUUUCUGGCUAUGUCCUUUUUCUUGUCUUGCUUUUGAGUCUCUGUUCAUAGAUUAAACAAUAUUGUGGUCUUUGACAUUUGAUGAAUGCUAAAUUUAGUAUUUUGGGGUUAAACGAGAGCAAAACUUCAUAUUAUCUUCGACGCUAGCUGAAGAGUAAUAACAUUUGAAUUUGGACGUUAUACUAUUAAUACAUGAGUGAUUAUGUUGAACUCGUUAAAAUUAUUUACUGGACUGUAGAUCAUAACCCAAAUUUAAUUUUUCUAGUGUUAAAUUAAUCAAUAGAUGUGGGAAAUAGCUUAGUAGGGAGAGCGUCAAACUGAAGGUUGUGUGUUCUAUAUAUCCAUGCACACCGCAUUUCUAUAUAUUUAUAAGUUAUAUUUUUAUUUUUAUUUUAUAUGGAAGGGGGUUCGUGAGUGUUCUCGAUAUUGUAUUGAAGCAACUUGGAUAUGAUUAAAAUUCUCAAGUUUUAUUUUAAAUUUCUCACCUUGCCAUUUUUUUUCUUUUUUUUUUUGGGAGUUGGUGAGUUUCCUAAACAUGCAAGGGGGUUGGUGAAUUUUCUAGAUAUUGUAUUGAAGCAAGUUGGAUAUGCUCAAGAUUAGCUUCUUAAUGAGGCUUCAAAUUUUUAUGAGAUUAUGAUGUGGAUAACGUGUAUUCUGCUUGGAUAAUACAGAAUUGCCUAUCUACAUAUUUCUCAAAAAGAAAACUCAUCAUUUUCACAUAUGAGAAUGAAAGGAAAACUCAUUAUUUUUCACAUAUGAGCAUUAUGAGCAUCAAAAUGAAAACUCAUAAAGUCAUAAUACAUUCUCAAAAAAAAAAAAAAAGGAAAAAUCAUAAUAAAAAAGCAUAAAAGGAAAACUCAUUAUUUUCGCAUAUGAGCAUAAUUUAGGGGCAUUAAUUGCUCCUAAAAAGCUAAGAAAUCCUAUAUGAGUUAUUAUUUUGCCUUCUUUGUUGAAACCAUAUUGCCCUCAUGCUUAGUUGGCAACUUGGCAUACAAGGCCUCUAAUGCAUGUAUUUCAUAUAAUUACAAUUUUAGGAUUUUGUAAAAUGGUCCAUAAAGAUUUGAAGUAAUUCUUUUUUGCCCAUGAGCUUCAUAUAUUCAUAGUUUUCUGAACUUUUUUAUUUGGGUUGUUAGGAA